rnacentral:rRNA from 1 species
CUGAAGAGUUUGAUCAUGGCUCAGAUUGAACGCUGGCGGCAGGCUUAAGACAUGCAAGUCGAGCGGAAACGAUGGGAGCUUGCUCCCAGGCGUCGAGCGGCGGACGGGUGAGUAACGCGUAGGAAUCUACCUGGUAGUGGGGGACAACUCGGGGAAACUCGAGCUAAUACCGCAUACGCCCUACGGGGGAAAGGUGGCCUCUAUUUAUAAGCUAUCGCUAUUGGAUGAGCCUGCGUUGGAUUAGCUAGUUGGUAGGGUAAGAGCCUACCAAGGCGACGAUCCAUAGCUGGUCUGAGAGGAUGAUCAGCCACACUGGGACUGAGACACGGCCCAGACUCCUACGG